CUCUUCUACCGUUGGGACAUGGUCCCAACACGCCUAGCCACCAUGGACCCACAGAAAUCUAGCAUUUGCUGGCGUUGCAAACAGGAAACAGGUACCUUUUUACACACCUGGUGGAAAUGCACAAAACUACAGCCAUACUGGAAAGAGGUUAUCUUAUUGAUACACCAACACACCUCAAUUACAAUACCAAACUCCCCAAAGUCCUUGCUAUUAUUUAUGUUGGGUACCGAAUACCCGAAACAGAUUAAAUACCUUAUACUCCACAUACUAGUAGCUGCCCAAAGUCUCAUUGCAAAAAACUGGUUAUCGACCACUAACGCAACAAUGCGAGAACUGAUCAG